GUCCACUAGCUUUUGACUGGCGUAGUCCAUCUCCAAUCGUCAGGGAACCAGGACUCUUGGAGGCCGUGGGAGGUGCCUACCGUGUGGUCCCGCCCCCCGGUCACUGUCCAAUCGCUUACGGCCGAGCGUUGGCCGGGAGACGCUCUGGCGACCCGUUCUGCUGCUGUCUGCCUGCUCCUCCAGGAAUAUCGAGAGGCCAGAAUCAUCCAUCUUCUUGGACAGAAAACCGCAGAGCAAGCUACACUCGUCGGACUCCGCAUUCCCUUCUUUUCCCCUUCGGAAAUCCUUGAUUAGGAUGAAGACAGGAAGCAGCUCAUAGUUGAAAGUGCACU